GACGAACGCUGGCGGCGUGGAUUAGGCAUGCAAGUCGAACGGUAGGAUACCUUCGGGUAUCUGAGAGUGGCGAACGGGUGAGUAACACGUAGGUGAUCUACCCUCAAGAUUGGGACAACCCAGGGAAACUUGGGCUAAUACCGGAUGAAAGCAGCAGUGAUGUUGUUUGAAAGGUGGCGUAAGCUGCCGUUUGGGGAUGAGCCUGCGCUCUAUUAGUUAGUUGGCGGGGUAAAGGCCCACCAAGGCGAUGAUAGAUAGGCGGCCUUAACGGGUGGUCGCCCACACUGGGAUUGAGAUACGGCCCAGACUCCUACGGGAGGCAGCAGUCGAGAAUAGUCUACAAUGGCCGAAAGGCUGAUAGUGCGACGCCGCGUGAACGAAGAAGCCCUUCGGGUGUAAGUUCUUUUAUAUGUGAGCAGUGCUUCUAUGUGAACAGCAUGGGGAGGAGAGAUAUUAGCAUAUGAAUAAGCAACGGCUAACUCCGUGCCAGC
rnacentral:rRNA from 1 species